rnacentral:sRNA from 1 species
GGUCAUUAUUUGUGUUGGUUAUCAGGUUUGUCUCCGUUCCCCUCUCUUACGGGUGCAUGUACACGCUAGUCAUCUGUAUAUUCUCCCCUGUGCACACCUUUUGUAGCCUGAUUCAAAAUGAUAGAUUCAUCUUUCAAGACGAGGACUGCUGAUUUUUUCCCCAGUUCGCUUUCCCUUGUAUUUUUUCAAAUGUAUGUUUUUAUCACAAACCUAUGAAUCUGUUUGCAAAUGUUGAAUUGGGUCCUUUAGUACCUAAAAAGUUAAAUAAACAAAUUAUUCCAAGGGAUCUCUUGGCUCUCGCAUCGACGAAUAACGCUGCGAACUGCAACAAUUCAUGUGAAUUGAGAAACUCAGUGAAUCAUCGAAUCUUUAAACGCAUCUGGCGCUCCUGGGUAUUCCCAGGAGCAUGCCUGUUUGAGUGUCAUCUUAAUCCUCAAAACCACAUUUGAUUCUUUCAGUGUGGCUUUGGAAGUGGGGGUAUAAUUUGCAGGCCUCGUCUUUAAAAAAAUGAAGUCUGCUCCCCUGAAAUGCAUUAGUGGUAUCUGAGCAAAAAACUACUACAGGUGUGAUAGUUUAUCUAUGCCUUGGUAAUACUGCAUGAACGGAUUGCACUGCUUAUAACCAACACAUAUAUAUUUUUGGAGACCUCAAAUCAAGUACGACUACCCGCUGAACUUACCUCUACUAAAA